CCCUUAGAUGUUCUGGGCCGCACGCGCGCUACACUGAUACAUGCAACGAGUUUAUAACCUUGAUCUGACGGUCUGGGUAAUCUUCAAACUGUAUCGUGUUAGGGAUCGAUUCUUGCAAUUUUUAAUCGUAAACGAGGAAUUCCUAGUAAACGCAAGUCAUCAGCUUGCAUUGAUUACGUCCCUGCCCUUUGUACACACCGCCCGUCGACUCUACCGAUUGAAUGGUUCGGUGAAAUCUCGGGACGGCGGCUUGGUCGCUUGCGUCCGACUGCUGAAACUUGAUUAAACCAUAUCAUUUAGAGGAAGGUGAAGUCGUANCA
rnacentral:rRNA from 1 species